GAUGAACGCUAGCGGCAGGCCUAAUACAUGCAAGUCGAGGGGCAGCAGGACUGUAGCAAUCCAGUUGCUGGCGACCGGCACACGGGUGCGGAACACGUACGCAACUUACCCUGUACUGGGGGAUAGCCGGGGGAAACCCGGAUUAAUACCCCGAAAUAUCCUGGAGUGGCAUCCCUUUAUUAUUCAAGCUUCGGCGGAUCGGGUUGGGCGUUGGGUUGUUUAGGUAGUGGGUUGAGGGAACGGCACCCCGAGGCUACGAUCAGUAACUGGUGUGAGAGCACGACCAGUCACACGGGAACUGAGGCACAGGCCCGACUGGUACGGAGCGCAGCAGUAAGGAAGACUGGGCAAUGGAGGCAACUCUAACCCAGCCAUGCCGCGUGAAGGAUGAAGGCCCUCUGGGAUGUAAACUUCUGGUAUAGAAGACGAGACCUGUGUAUUCUUACGCAGUUGACGGUACCCAAGGAAUAAGCACCGGCUAACUCCGUG
rnacentral:rRNA from 1 species